rnacentral:rRNA from 1 species
UACGUAGGGGGCAAGCGUUGUCCGGAUUUAUUGGGCGUAAAGAGCUCGUAGGUGGUUCGGUAAGUCGGAUGUGAAAUCUCCAGGCUCAACCUGGAGGGGUCAUUCGAUACUGCCGUGACUAGAGGUCGGUAGGGGAGUGUGGAAUUCCUGGUGGAGCGGUGAAAUGCGCAGAUAUCAGGAGGAACACCCGUAGCGAAGGCGGGUCUCUGGGCAGUAACUGACGCUGAGGAGCGAAAGCGUGGGGAGCGAACAGG